CAGAGAGUUGAGAUGUUUAUUGUUGUUGCUCCUUUCUACCCUUACGGGUUUACCUGCCAUAACCUUUUAGACAUUAAUACAUCAUCUGUAUAUCGUCCCCUUACGGGUUUAGCGCCUCCCUGUCAGGAUAACAUUGCUAAUUAUGGUGGUGCCAUGUGCCACGUUGAUCAUCAGUGGUAUAUACGGGGCAGUGAACUCGCCCAAACUUCUGACCAUCCCUGAUGCCAGGGUCCUCCUGCAGCCUAUAUACACUCUGGUGGUGCCAUGUGCCACGUUGAUCAUCAGUGGUAUAUACGGGGCAGUGAACUCGCCCAAACUUCUGACCAUCCCUGAUGCCAGCUUCCUCCUGCAGCCUAUAUACACUCUGGUGGUGCCAUGUGCCACGUUGAUCAUCAGUGGUAUAUACGGGGCAGUGAACUCGCCCAAACUUCUAACCAUCCCUGAUGCCAAGUUCCUCCUGCAGCCUAUAUACACUCUGGCUCCCUACGAGUAGAGGUUCACCAUCACUGCCACACAGGAUGCUGGCCAUCUGUGACGUCUCAGCAGAUCCUGGAGGAUCUAGAGAGUUCGUGACAAAGUGUACCACCAUUGACACGCCCUUCUGUCUCUACGACGCUGACCAGAAUAAAGACACUAACAGCAUGCAUCGUGGCCAGCAGAAGUGAGGGAGAGAAACUAUCUCAAAACAUUCACAGCAUCACCUUCCCACCAGGAGAAGAUGCAUCAGCAUGGAGGAAACUCGACAAGCCUUGUUCAUCCCAGAGACUCUUCAUGCCCGUGUAAAUUCAGGUGUAACGCUCACGAAUUUAAGCCGAUUAUGCAAAUUUGGCCGGGAGGAAUACGUGGUUCCAAUUUACAAACACAUACUACAAGCAAGCUAUUACCUGGGGAGAUCAAGAUAUCAUCAAUAUUAUCUUUCACUAUCAUCCAGACAAGUUGUAUGUUUAUGGAUGGGAAUACAAUCUUGGCCCCGAUUAAUGCACAUACACGAGCAUAUGCAAGGCAGCAGAGAAGCGAGGCAUCUUUGUUCUUCACGGUAACUGCGGCACUUUCCACAGCAUCAAGCAGCCAGCCAGCCAGCCAGCUUCAGGGGUGUUUAUCAAGCUUGGGAAGAGGUGAGAAGAAACCAGAAAUAUCAAGUAUUUUUUUGUAUUUCUACUGGUAAUAAGCAUUCUGACCUUACAAGUCUGGUGCCUAUUUUUAAUAUGGCUUCUCCUCACUUAACGACCGAGUAACGGCAAAGUCAAAGGCCCAAGACCCCGUCGGUAAAUGAUUUGUCGCCAAUCGAGGAAUCACCCCUCACUGACACUUGAAAAGUGUCACUGCCCAAAAUUGAAACAUUCAGUUUUACGUUUGCCGGGAAAUUCCUCUCGAUCCGUUUUUAUCGACAGUAAUACAAUGCGAAAUAGGUCGACAAUUUACUUCUGAGAUAUUCCAGGAGAUGCGUGCAUGGCCAAUUGCGUGGGAAAAUAAUUUGUUUGAGAAAAAAGCACUUUUUCAGUCUUUGCAUAGGGUAAGAAUGAGUUUGUAUUGCUACCCUGGAGGCAUGUAAUGUUUUUUGUUAUGGUGAAGGUUAUUUUGUUUUAUCCUGGUUUUCUAACCUUCAAUACCUCUCUAUGUAAUGUCAGUUUUUAUUCAUUUGGAUGU